rnacentral:rRNA from 1 species
GAUGAACGCUAGCUACAGGCUUAACACAUGCAAGUCGAGGGGCAGCACAAGGCAGCAAUGCUGAGGUGGCGACCGGCGCACGGGUGCGUAACGCGUAUCCAACCUUCCCGUUACUCAUGGAUAGCCUUCCGAAAGGGAGAUUAAUACAUGAUGGUGUUGAAAUUCCGCAUGUUAUUUCAACUAAAGAUUUAUCGGUAUCGGAUGGGGAUGCGUGACAUUAGAUAGUAGGCGGGGUAACGGCCCACCUAGUCUACGAUGUCUAGGGGUUCUGAGAGGAAGGUCCCCCACACUGGAACUGAGACACGGUCCAGACUCCUACGGGAGGCAGCAGUGAGGAAUAUUGGUCAAUGGUCGGAAGACUGAACCAGCCAAGUAGCGUGAAGGAUGAAGGUUCUAUGGAUUGUAAACUUCUUUUAUACGGGAAUAAAACACCUUACGUGUAGGGUCUUGUAUGUACCGUAUGAAUAAGCAUCGGCUAACUCCGUG